rnacentral:rRNA from 1 species
UACGUAGGGAGCAAGCGUUGUCCGGAAUCAUUGGGCGUAAAGGGUGCGUAGGUGGCAGGGUAAGUCGGAUGUGAAAUCCCGGGGCUCAACCUCGGAACUGCAUUCGAUACUGCUUUGCUGGAGUACUGGAGAGGAGAUUGGAAUUUACGGUGUAGCAGUGAAAUGCGUAGAUAUCGUAAGGAAGACCAGUGGCGAAGGCGGAUCUCUGGACAGUUACUGACACUGAGGCACGAAGGCCAGGGGAGCAAACGGG